AUACGUAGGGGGCGAGCGUUGUCCGGAGUGACUGGGCGUAAAGAGCACGUAGGCGGUUUAAUAUGUCGAAUGUGAAAAUCCUGAGCUUAACUCAGGACCUGCAUCCGAAACUGUUAAACUUGAGUACAGGAGAGGAAAGCGGAAUUCCUAGUGUAGCGGUGAAAUGCGUAGAUAUUAGGAGGAACACCAGUGGCGAAGGCGGCUUUCUGGACUGGAUCUGACGCUGAGGUGCGAGAGCUAGGGGAGCGAACAGGAUUAGAUACCCUGGUAGUCCUAGCCGUAAACGAUGAAUACUAGGUGUCGGGAGUUUAGAUACUUUCGGUGCUGCAGCAAACGCAAUAAGUAUUCCGCCUGGGGAGUAUGGUCGCAAGACUAAAACUCAAAUGAAUUGGCGGGG
rnacentral:rRNA from 1 species